rnacentral:rRNA from 1 species
CGAGCGGCAGCGGGAAGUAGCUUGCUACUUUGCCGGCGAGCGGCGGACGGGUGAGUAAUGUCUGGGAAACUGCCUGAUGGAGGGGGAUAACUACUGGAAACGGUAGCUAAUACCGCAUGACCUCGCAAGAGCAAAGUGGGGGACCUUCGGGCCUCACGCCAUCGGAUGUGCCCAGAUGGGAUUAGCUAGUAGGUGGGGUAAUGGCUCACCUAGGCGACGAUCCCUAGCUGGUCUGAGAGGAUGACCAGCCACACUGGAACUGAGACACGGUCCAGACUCCUACGGGAGGCAGCAGUGGGGAAUAUUGCACAAUGGGCGCAAGCCUGAUGCAGCCAUGCCGCGUGUGUGAAGAAGGCCUUAGGGUUGUAAAGCACUUUCAGCGAGGAGGAAGGGUUCAGUGUUAAUAGCACUGUGCAUUGACGUUACUCGCAGAAGAAGCACCGGCUAACUCCGUGCCAGCAGCCGCGGUAAUACGGAGGGUGCAAGCGUUAAUCGGAAUUACUGGGCGUAAAGCGCACGCAGGCGGUUUGUUAAGUCAGAUGUGAAAUCCCCGAGCUUAACUUGGGAACUGCAUUUGAAACUGGCAAGCUAGAGUCUUGUAGAGGGGGGUAGAAUUCCAGGUGUAGCGGUGAAAUGCGUAGAGAUCUGGAGGAAUACCGGUGGCGAAGGCGGCCCCCUGGACAAAGACUGACGCUCAGGUGCGAAAGCGUGGAGCAAACAGGAUUAGAUACCCUGGUAGUCCACGCUGUAAACGAUGUCGACUUGGAGGUUGUGCCCUUGAGGCGUGGCUUCCGGAGCUAACGCGUUAAGUCGACCGCCUGGAGUACGGCCGCAAGGUUAAAACUCAAAUGAAUUGACGGGGGGCCCGCACAAGCG